GGAGAGAUGGUAGAGUGGUCGAUUACAACGGUCUUGAAAACCGUCGUACCGAGAGGUACCGGGGGUUCGAAUCCCCCUCUCUCCG
rnacentral:tRNA from 2 species